ensembl:snRNA U6 U6 spliceosomal RNA
GUGCCCACUUCAGGAGCACAUAAACUAAAAUUGGCAGGAUACAGAGAAGAUUAGCAUGGCCCCUGCACAAGGAUGACAUGCAAAUUUGUGAAAUGUUCCAUAUUUUU